AUGUUCUGCAAGUUCAGCUACCGCGGCAUGGACCUAGACGCUCUCCUGGACAUGUCCAGUGAGGACCUCGUUGGGCUCUUCCCAGCCCGCGCUCGCAGAAGGUUCUCGAGGGGUCUGAAGAGGAAGCCGAUGGCGCUCGUCAAUACGCUCUGCAAGGCGGUGAUUGAUGGUUCCCUUUUUACACUUGUUUGUAGUUGA
rnacentral:rRNA from 1 species